CGCAGCUGGACGCCAGCAGGCAUCGGGAGCAAAAGUGACUAGGAAAAAAAGAUUAUUUUAAAUACCCAUUAUCUCCAGAAGAGAUUUAAUUCUAACAAGAGACUUUUUUUUCAAUUGGCCUGAUAGGCACAAAAUGCAAGGCUGGGGAUGUUGAAAACCAGUAAAUAGCACUUGCCUUUCAGCAGCUGUGAAGACUGAGCCCUCCCCAGCAGCCACACCUGCAUACACAGACGUGUGCAGUCGGAUCAACAGACCAAGUUCCACCUGGAGGCAGAGACAGGAUUACGAGCAGCUGCGUACACAGGAAGCGCCGUGGCAGGUUAGAAGCAAAACCGUUGCCUACGUGGGUGAAGCCCCGGAGGAGAGGAAAACGUGCUCCUGACCAAAGCAGGCGGAGCUCCUGGGUCGGCAAAGCACAGGGGCACAGGCGGUGCUGCCCUGGGUCGGAGCACGCCAGGCUUCACUCGGUGCCACUCGGUGCCGUUCUGCCUCAGGGUGUCCAGGUGUAAAGGCCGGUGCAAAAAUCAUGAGGUGGAGCAGCCAGUGGGUUCUGGAGCUGGUGGGCAGUGUGGCUGGGGCAUGCAUCCACAGCGUGGACUGUGGAGGUGUGUGAAUGCCAGGCGGAGGAAGCACCAUGGGGAGGGGGCUCACCCUUGUGGGGGAACACUGGGGGCUGGAUUUCCUUUCUUUAUGAGGCAAAAUUCACAUAAUAUAAAAAUUAACUAAUGGGUGUG